rnacentral:rRNA from 1 species
GACGAACGCUGGCGGCGUGCUUAACACAUGCAAGUCGAACGGAAAGGCCCUGCUUUUGUGGGGUGCUCGAGUGGCGAACGGGUGAGUAACACGUGAGUAACCUGCCCUUGACUUUGGGAUAACUUCAGGAAACUGGGGCUAAUACCGGAUAGGAGCUCCUGCUGCAUGGUGGGGGUUGGAAAGUUUCGGCGGUUGGGGAUGGACUCGCGGCUUAUCAGCUUGUUGGUGGGGUAGUGGCUUACCAAGGCUUUGACGGGUAGCAGGCCUGAGAGGGUGACCGGCCACAUUGGGACUGAGAUAAGGCCCAGACUCCUACGGGAGGCAGCAGUGGGGAAUAUUGCACAAUGGGCGGAAGCCUGAUGCAGCAACGCCGCGUGCGGGAUGACGGCCUUCGGGUUGUAAACCGCUUUCGCCUGUGACGAAGCGUGAGUGACGGUAAUGGGUAAAGAAGCACCGGCUAACUACGUG